rnacentral:piRNA from 1 species
UAACCAUCAGGUUAAACUACAGAAAUGGU